AUACGGAGGGUCCAAGCGUUAUCCGGAAUCUUGGGUUUAAAGGGUCCGUAGGCGGGCAAUUAAGUCAGGGGUGAAAUCCCACAGCUCAACUGUGGAACUGCCUUUGAUACUGGUUGUCUUGAAUUAUACUGAAGUAGAUAGAAUAUGUAGUGUAGCGGUGAAAUGCUUAGAUAUUACAUAGAAUACCGAUUGCGAAGGCAGUCUACUAACUGUAUAUUGACGCUGAUGGACGAAAGCGUGGGGAGCGAACAGGAUUAGAUACCCCAGUAGUCC
rnacentral:rRNA from 1 species